CACUGAAAAGAAAUGCAUGAAGUUACUUGAAGGCUUUCUGCAAUCCAACCCCAAAUUUAUUCAUCAGGUCCUUCACUGUCAAAGAGUAAGUUUUGGUUCUGAGACUCAGGGAUUCUGUGCAACUCUUAGAUUAACUUGAAUUUUUAAAAUGAGGUACAUACAAAGAAUCACUUUUCAGUGAGCCAAAAAUAUGGGAAGUUAAUGCCCAGUUACAUUUGGACUUUUUUUAAUAGCUCCCAGUCUUCAAAGGUUUUUGCUUUAAACCCUCAAAGUCAGUUAAAGAAAGGCUUUAAGUCCUGGUCCCGGUUAAGCUACUGGAGGAACAUGUUUUUCUGAGAAGGGCCUUGUGCUGCACUUGAUGCCACUCUUGAGGAAAGUACAACUAAUUUUAGCCAUAUUGUUCUAGCAGUGCCUGGGAAAGGUCACAGAGAAAUUAAUGAUAAACGCCCUUAUUUCCCCUUAUAAUCAAUAAAACAAGCCAAUAUAAAAGAAGUGUAAAACUAUUUUACCUUAGAAAAGGUGGUUUUAUAAUGCCAUUCAUGUCAGGUUUCUGUAAAAAAAAUAUAUAUAUUCACAUGAAUUUGUAGAAAUUUGCUACAGGUGAUCUUGCUGUCCUGCUAAGGGAAAGAGACCCUGUAAUUAAUCUGUAUGGCCAGUUUGGUUUUAAUACUUCAAAUUUCAGUGCUGAACCAAAGCCUGUCAGGCUUUCCAUUCCAGGCAUGCUGUAUUUCAGGACCUCAUUCAGCAGGUUCUUAACUCAUUCUUGGCUUGUGAUUCCAAUGAAAUUGCUCAAGUAUAUCAGCUGUAAAUAGACUUAGACCUUAGAAUUAGGUCUAAUUAACCCUUAAAAUUAAGAAAAAUGAACAAAUGCCUGAAUUAAAUUGUACUGAGCACCAACCCUCCUCAAAGCUAUGUCAACUCCUUUAGUCUUUUUUCUAUAGUGGAUACUGUUGUGCAUGUUACUGUCUUGUGUAGCACAGCAGGAACAGUUUAACUGUCAAUGACCAUUCCUCAUCUCUCCUUCUUGAAAUCCUGAGCUAUUUUUUCUGUGUAUUCUGAAACAAAAAUAAGAUGCCUUGAAUCAUUUCCUGCUUCUGCAUAGGAGGCCCCGUGAACAGCCUGUUUUACACAUCUGUAAAUCCUGUGUGAAUGUACAAGCCAGCCCAGUAUAAUGUUGGGCUUAUUUCCAAAGCCUAUGGAGAUGUGGGGCUUGGGGACUUGCACGGAAGCAGGAAAGACAAGGAAGUUCUGCAAGAAUGAAAAUAAAGAGUGACUUUGGAACAAAACACUUGGUUGCAAGUGCAGCAGCUCUCCUCUACAGUUGUCCUAAGAAGGGGUCACAGCAGCUGCUGUGAGUUAGGAGGUGCCUCAACAAAAGUGGUCAUUGUUCUAUACUCCAGAAGUUCUAAUUUAUUUUAGCCUUGCUUUCCCUGUGGAAAUUUAGAUUAUCAAAAAAGAUGUAUUUGUUUUCCACUCCUAGGAGCUAUCAGUUUCCAUUCUGGCUUCCAAAGAGAUUGUAUAGUUCUAAUUAAAGCUCUGCCAACUGACUGAUCUGCCAUUCCUCUUGAGUUUCUGGUUCAAGAGGAAUGUUAGUCCACAAGCCUUAAAUUUAUUCCUAAAUCCUUUGACCUAAUGCCACAAACCAAAACAGCUCUUAAGGUGACUGUUCCUGAGAAUGGAGUGCCCCCAGCAGAACACUGCAGGGAUCCUGAGACCAUUUCACCGAUUUCCAUAAUUCUUUUAAGCUCUUUAGUCAGUCACCUGGUCCCAGGGCACAGAACUCUCCCUGCUGGACUGGCACCUCCCAAGAGCUUUGGACAUAAUCACCCUUGAAGGCCACGCUGAUCCUGCAGGCUUCAACAGCAAGACACAGGCUAAGGGAGCCUCCAUAAAUUCUGACAUUUCACCAUUACCAAGGCUUCUUCAUUCAAAAAUGAAAGCCACAAAUACGUCAAAAUACACAUGUUGGUCUUCAGAAUAAUUUUGAUACUUGUUUUAAAAGUAACUGAACACUGAGAUUUAGGUCAUAUUUCUUGAUAAUCAUUUUAUGCAGCAGAAAAGCUUCAUUCCUCACAGAAAACACUGUCCCAGAAACAUCACUACACAAACUACACACUUCCUACACCACAAUGUUCAUUACUGAGAAAUAAACUCACUUACUUGAAUGUGGAUUCAAAUAUAUAUGCUAAUAUUAAACUGUUCUGGCUCCUAAAAAAGUGCAAAUCUUUUCUGUAGGAAUAUUUAGAUGGAAAAAAAUAAAAAGGGGUAUUCCAAAACAUGACUCAUAGUGAAAUGGAGUAAGAUCUCUAACUGAGAGGAUCUUCACAAAUCUCCAGCAACAACUUCCAUACUUUCACACUUUUUAUGUUUGUAAUGUGACGUAACCUGUUCUUUUAAGAAUUAGACACAAGUCUGUGAUUCAAUUGCGAACGUGAUUGUAAAGGCCACUUCAAUCUCAAUUUCUACUGUAGGAUUCACAACCUUACUUAGAAAGCAAAAACACCUGUCAGCAGGUCAACCUAAAAUUUGUUUGGAUGCUAUACUGAGAGACAAAAUAUUUAGUCAUACCAAUAAAUAAUACCAUUUUUAGCUACUGGCAGCCAAUCAGCUAAUUGUAUUAUUCUUUGAUUCUUGAAGUUUCCCGUGGCACCAACUAAUAGAACUUUGCAUCUUACUUUGGUACAGUGUCUCAUAUUUUAGCAAUGCUAACCUUAUUUUAUUUAAUUUGGUUUUUGGUUUUUUUUUGCCUCCAAAAUGUGAUUUCUGCUUCAAGAGGCUCUUUGGAGAAAGUCUCCAAAACAUCACCCUUACAUUUACCCAGACCUGCAUUUAACACGUCAUCAAAAUACUUACUUAAACAAGCAGCAAGAAAAAAAGCUCAUAAUUGCCUAAUUUGAUUAGUCUUAAUUUUCAAUCAGUUUGAAUGCUGCUUAAAUACCAGAAAUAAUAGCAUUGUAAUACAUUAUCUGUUAAUAAAAAAUGUAUUUUCACUUAGCUUCAGCUUUGCUGAACACAGGCAGGAGUUAGUACAGCCCUCCCCUGGCAAUAGCUGCAAACACAGAUUUUAUGCUGCUGUAAGUCCCCUGUGCCCCACAGCUCUAACAUCACUGGAGGUGAUGGAUUUGUACUGCUUUCUGUGAGAAUUUCUUUUCAUCUUUAACAGAUUCCAUGGCUGAGAAGUUUUGCUCUGCAGGGGCUGCAAGACAGAACCCAACAAAUACCAGUGUCAGAUGCCAGAACCCCCCUCGCACUCUGUUCAGCACUGCAAAGCUCAGAAGGGCACGAGCUGGAAGGGAAUAAUGGGUGCCAUGUCCUGGAGCCAGGGGGACUCUGAGUUAAGGCUGUUCUAAAGCUACUCCUUGGGUCUGUGUGUAACCAUUAAAACACAUCAUUAGCAUAAUUAAGGCAUUGUACUACAGACUAUUAGAGAGUAUUUACUGUACAUGUUACUGAACCUCAAAGAACAUGAGCACAAAAAUAACAUUUUCAAUAAAUCUGGGCAUUUCUGCAUGUGCCACCCAAAAUAUUACCUUGGCACUGGGGCAAAGGCUUUUUCUUCUGCUGAUUCAUCCAGUGGUCUGGUGUAUGAUGAUGGAAACCAUCCUUUUCUGUAAAGGGAAAGGUCUUUUAUAUUAUAUAAAAUUGGAAAGAUCUUUCAAAAUACAACAGUAAAGUCAGCAAACAGAUUUAACUUCUGAAGAAACCAAUUUCUGAUGAUGCCAAGUAUGUGCAGAGAUUUUCCUUAGAGGGAGACCCCAAGUCCCUAGUCAGUGACAGCCAGUAAAUCUGCUAACAUAAUCUGGUGAGACACACUUUUACUUCAUGUUCAAGGUGGGUAAUGAUUAUCUUACAGUCUGGUUGUGUCGUGCUCCCCAUAAAGCCAGCCAUCCUUUUCCUCAGCCACCAGCAGGGUUAUGAUAUCCCCCUGGGCAAAGCUGAGCAAUGUCUUGU